UACGGAGGGUGCAAGCGUUGCUCGGAAUCACUGGGCGUAAAGCGACCGCAGGUGGCCUGACAAGUCGGAUGUGAAAGCCCUGGGCUCAACUCAGGAAUUGCAUUCGAAACUGGCAGGCUCGAGUACGGGAGAGGGGGGUGGAAUUCCUGGUGUAGGGGUGAAAUUCGUUGAUAUCAGGAGGAACACCGGUGGCGAAGGCGGAUCUCUGGGCCUUACCUGACGCUGAGGCGCGAAAGCUAGGGGAGCGAACAGG
rnacentral:rRNA from 1 species